GCCUGAAAAAGACGAAGAUGCUAUUCCACAAUUAAUAUGAGAUCAAGGACUUCUGCCAGGCGACCACUUUACAAGUUACACUCACGUUAGAUCCAUAGUUUCUAUUAGCAACACGAGUUUAGUGCACAGAUUGAGAUCCCAACAUACCAUCUGCUUACAAAUAGUGAUGCCAGACCCCAUAUUUCAAGGCCACUAGGCUAAACAUAAUGGUGUGCGCUGUGCAGACAGACCCCAUAUUUCAAGGCCACUAGGCUAAACAUAAUGGUGUGCGCUGUGCAGAGGAUAGAAAAGCUACAUCUAGAUUACUUGAUGGAAUGAAAAGGGAAAGCAAAUACUUGAAGUUGAAGGGUGACCAGGCAAGGUCUAGUGUAGCAAAACAUAUGUCUUGGGCAGAAAAGGUCUAUUGAUAUUCCAUCUCCACUACUCAGUUUUUAGAAUCUAUAAAAGCAAUCAAAGCAAACAUCUGCAUGAUGUACCGUU
rnacentral:lncRNA from 1 species